rnacentral:lncRNA from 1 species
AGAGGUUUGGGUGUGUUUGGAGUGGCCUAGAGGUGGGUGUCAAUCGAUGAAAAAUUAUAUUGUGUUGUGUUGUGUUAUAUAGUUAGAUAAAAAAAAAAAUUAUAUGUUAUCUGUAUAUGUGUUACUAUAUAUUUUUUUUUAUUUUUGGUUUUAUUUUAUGUGACAAUAUUUGAUUAGACGUUUGAUCGGUUUGAAAAAAGAUAGAGAGGUUUGAGGGUGUGUUUGGAGUGGCCUAGGGGUGGGUGUCAAUCGGUGAAAAAUUAUAUUAUGUUGUGUUGUAUAGUUAGAUAAAAAGAAAAAAUUAUAUGUUAUAUGUAUAUGUGUUACUAUAUAUUAUUUUUUAUUUUUGGUUUUAUUUUAUGUGACGGUAUUUGAUUAGACGUUUGAUCCGUUUGAAAAAAAAUAAGAGAUUUUGGUGUGUUUGGGGUGGCCUAAGGCUGUCAAUCAUUGAAAAAUUAUAUUGUGGUAUAUAGUUAGGUAAACUUAUAUUGUCGUAUAUGUAUAUGUGUUACUAUAUAUUAUUUUUAAUUUUUUAUGUUAUUUUAUGUGACAGUAUUUGAUUAGACGUUUGAUCAGUUGGAAAAAAGAUAGAGAGAUUGAGUGUACGUGGAGUGGCCUAGCCAUAUAUGUUCAUGUAUUUUAGGGGAGUCAAUCAUUGAAAAAUUAUAUUGUGUUAUAUAGUUACGUAAAAAAAAGUAUAUGUUGUAUGUGUAUGUUACUAUAUACUAUUAUUUAAAAAAUUUCAUUUUAUUUUAUGUGAUAGUAUUUGAUUAGACGUUUAAUCAGUUUAACCACACAAUGAAGGAGGAUAACCGAACAAAAAUACACUCGCUUGUUGUCUUGUUCUUCGUCGCGUAUAGGUGGAUUAGAUAUCCUGGCAAUUCAUAUCGUAAACAAUGAAUUCAUAUCGUAAACAAUGAGUGUUCGUCCUUGGUCUACGUCAAUCGUCACGUCGACAAUAUAAAUAUAUAUAUAUAUAUAUUGUCAUCUUGUUCUCUGUCGUGUAUAGGUGGAUUAGAUAUGUUGGUAGUUUAUGUCGUAAACAAUGAGUGUUCGUUCUUGGUCUACAUCACUCGCCACGUCAAAAAGCCU